rnacentral:rRNA from 1 species
UACCUAACAGCUAGCCCACCAAACAUUUCAACAACCCCUAUUAAUAACCCCUAAAUACCCCAGUAUUUAUUUUGAACAAACCAUUUUUCCCCCUUAGUAUAGGCGAUAGAAAAGGGCCUACGGCGCGAUAGAGAAAGUACCGCAAGGGAACGCUGAAAGAGAAGUGAAACAACCCAGUAAAGCCUAAAAAAGCAGAGAUUUAAGCUCGUACCUUUUGCAUCAUGAUUUAGCAAGUGUAACCCAAGCAAAGCGUACUUUAGUUUGACGUCCCGAAACUAGUGUGAGCUACUCCAAGACAGCCUAUCAAUAGGGCACACCCGUCUCUGUGGCAAAAGAGUGGGGGGAGCUUUGAGUAGAGGUGAUAAACCUACCGAACCUAGUCAUAGCUGGUUGUCCAAGAAAUGAAUAGAAGUUCAGCCUUUCGGCUUCUCUUUUCACCUUAGUCUGACCCCUAUGGAUGCACCAAAGAAACCAAAAGAGUUAGUCAAAGGGGGUACAGCCCCUUUGAAUCAAGACACAACUUUACCAGGAGGGUAAAGAUCAUAAUAACUAAAGCUAAAUGUUUGGGUGGGCCUAAAAGCAGCCAUUCCCCUAGAAAGCGUUAAAGCUCAGACAUGUAAUUAUUCUUCUUAUCCUGAUCACCAAAUCUUACCCCCCUAACCGUACUGGACCAUCCCAUGCCUGCAUGGGAGUGACUAUGCUGAAAUGAGUAAUAAGAGAGCUACCGGCUCUCUCCCUGCACACGUGUAAAUCGGAACGGACAACCCACCGAACCUUGACGGCCCCAAAUAAAGAGGGUAGUGGAUAAUAGACCAAAAAACUAGAAAAGUGUCCAAAAACAAACCGUUAAACCCACACAGGUGUGCCCCCAGGGAAAGACUAAAAGAA